UACGUAGGGGGCGAGCGUUGUCCGGAUUUAUUGGGCGUAAAGAGCGUGUAGGCGGUUCGGUAAGUCUGUCGUGAAAUCCUGAGGCUCAACCUCGGGCGUGCGAUGGAUACUGCCGGGCUAGAGGAUGGUAGAGGCGAGUGGAAUUCCCGGUGUAGCGGUGAAAUGCGCAGAUAUCAGGAGGAACACCAAUGGCGAAGGCAGCUCGCUGGGACGGUAUUGACGCUGAGACGCGAAAGCGUGGGGAGCAAACAGG
rnacentral:rRNA from 1 species